rnacentral:rRNA from 1 species
GACGAACGCUGGCGGCGUGCUUAAUACAUGCAAGUCGAACGGACAGGCCCUGCUUUUGUUUGUUUCUCGAUUGGCGAACGGGUGAGUAACACGUGAGUAACCUCCCCUUGUCUUUGUGGUAACUUCUCGAAACUGCGGCUCUUACCCGAUAGGAUCUCCUGCUGCAUGUUGUUCAUUAGAAAAUUUCGGCGUUUGUGGAUGGACUCGCGGCUUACCAGCUUGUUGGUGUGGUAGUGGCUUACCAAGGCUUUGACGGAUAGGCGGCAUGAGAGGGUGAACGGCGACAUUGGGACUGAGAUACGGAGCAGACUGCUACGGGAGGCAGAAGGGGGGAAUAUUGCACAAUGAGCGGAAGCGUGAUGCAGAAACGCCGCGAGCGGGAAGACGGGCUUCGGGGUGUAAACCGAUUUCGCAUGUGAUGAAGAGUGAGUGACGGUAAUGGGUAAAGAAGCAACGGCUAACUACGUG